ACAUGGGCCACAGCAGUGUACUGAUUGGGCUGCAUGCAGCCUGAAGGUUGAGAACCACUGCUUUAGCCUAUAGGGUCUUUGAGACUGGGACCAUCUCUGAUAGCAUGCUUAUGGAUUAUCUGGAGGCUAACACUAAGAGACACUAGUCUUGAUUCUGGCCUGAUUAGGAAAGACUUGUGUGACACUUGGCACCUGAAUCUCUGCAUUUUCACUGUACAACACAGGCAACAAUUCUGGAUGUUGGGCUCAGGAGGACCUUUCAGUGAGGAGUAGCUUAAAUAGUGAACCCAUUCAACCAUGAAAACAUCCGAGUGAUGAAUGUGUAUUACAUUUUUACCUGUUUGUGCUGUCAUGGUACCAUUGUCUGAAACAAUAAA